rnacentral:rRNA from 1 species
GUGAAGCCUAGCUUGCUGGGUGGAUCAGUGGCGAACGGGUGAGUAACACGUGAGCAACCUGCCCUCCACUUCGGGAUAAGCCUUGGAAACGGGGUCUAAUACCGGAUAUGAGCUCGCAUCGCAUGGUGUGGGUUGGAAAGUUUUUCGGUGGGGGAUGGGCUCGCGGCCUAUCAGCUUGUUGGUGGGGUGAUGGCCUACCAAGGCGUCGACGGGUAGCCGGCCUGAGAGGGCGACCGGCCACACUGGGACUGAGACACGGCCCAGACUCCUACGGGAGGCAGCAGUGGGGAAUAUUGCACAAUGGGCGCAAGCCUGAUGCAGCGACGCCGCGUGAGGGAUGACGGCCUUCGGGUUGUAAACCUCUUUCAGCAGGGAAGAAGCGCAAGUGACGGUACCUGCAGAAGAAGCGCCGGCUAACUACGUGCCAGCAGCCGCGGUAAUACGUAGGGCGCAAGCGUUGUCCGGAAUUAUUGGGCGUAAAGAGCUCGUAGGCGGUCUGUCGCGUCUGGUGUGAAAUCCCGAGGCUCAACCUCGGGCUUGCAUCGGGUACGGGCAGACUAGAGUGCGGUAGGGGAGACUGGAAUUCCUGGUGUAGCGGUGGAAUGCGCAGAUAUCAGGAGGAACACCGAUGGCGAAGGCAGGUCUCUGGGCCGCAACUGACGCUGAGGAGCGAAAGCAUGGGGAGCGAACAGGAUUAGAUACCCUGGUAGUCCAUGCCGUAAACGUUGGGCACUAGGUGUGGGGCUCAUUCCACGAGUUCCGUGCCGCAGCUAACGCAUUAAGUGCCCCGCCUGGGGAGUACGGCCGCAAGGCUAAAACUCAAAGGAAUUGACGGGGGCCCGCACAAGCGGCGGAGCAUGCGGAUUAAUUCGAUGCAACGCGAAGAACCUUACCAAGGCUUGACAUGUACGAGAAAGCCCCCGAGACGGGGUUCUCUUUGGACACUCGUACACAGGUGGUGCAUGGUUGUCGUCAGCUCGUGUCGUGAGAUGUUGGGUUAAGUCCCGCAACGAGCGCAACCCUCGUCCUAUGUUGCCAGCGGGUUAUGCCGGGGACUCAUGGGAGACUGCCGGGGUCAACUCGGAGGAAGGUGGGGAUGACGUCAAAUCAUCAUGCCCCUUAUGUCUUGGGCUUCACGCAUGCUACAAUGGCCGGUACAGAGGGCUGCGAUACCGUAAGGUGGAGCGAAUCCCAAAAAGCCGGUCUCAGUU